CGGUUCCAGGAAAUAGCUCCACCAAUAUUGACCGUACCCGAAACCGACACAGGUGGACUGGUAGAGUAUACCAAGGCGCUUGAGAGAACUAUACUGAAGGAACUCGGCAAAUUGCACGCGUAACUUCGGGAUAAGCGUGACCUUCUAUCGGGCAACCGGUAUGGAGGUGGCACAAAAGAGGGGGUGGCGACUGUUUAUCAAAAACACAGCACUGUGCUAACUCGCAAGAGGAUGUAUACAGUGUGACGCUUGCCCAAUGCCCGAAUGUCACGGAAGUAGGUUAGCUUCGGCGAAGCUUGCAACUUAAGCACGGGUCAAUGGCGGCCGUAACUAUGACGGUCCUAAGGUAGCGAAGUUCCUUGUCGGGUAAGUUCCGACGCGCAUGAAUAGCGUAAUGACUGGGGCACUGUCUCCACGACCAACUCGGUGAAAUAGUAGUGGCGGUGAAGAUGCCGCCUACCCGCGACAAGACGGAAAGACCCCAUGAACCUUUACUAUAGGCUUUUAUUGCACAUGAGUUUGUAUUGCGUAGGAUAGGUGGGAGGCUUUGAAGCGG
rnacentral:rRNA from 1 species